UACGUAGGGGGCUAGCGUUGUCCGGAAUCAUUGGGCGUAAAGCGCGUGUAGGCGGUCCGGUAAGUCCGCUGUGAAAGUCGAGGGCUCAACCCUCGAAUGCCGGUGGAUACUGUCGGGCUAGAGUACGGAAGAGGCGAGUGGAAUUCCUGGUGUAGCGGUGAAAUGCGCAGAUAUCAGGAGGAACACCGGUGGCGAAGGCGGUGGUCUGGGCCGGCACUGACGCUGAGGAGCGAAAGCGUGGGGAGCAAACAGG
rnacentral:rRNA from 1 species